rnacentral:rRNA from 1 species
UACGGAGGAUGCAAGCGUUAUCCGGAAUGAUUGGGCGUAAAGCGUCCGCAGGUGGCUGUGUAAGUCUGCUGUUAAAGAGUCUAGCUCAACUAGAUAAAAGCAGUGGAAACUACACGGCUAGAGUACGUUCGGGGCAGAGGGAAUUCCUGGUGUAGCGGUGAAAUGCGUAGAGAUCAUGAGGAAGACCAGUGGCGAAGGCGGGUCUCUGGACAGUUCCUGACACUGAGGCACGAAGGCCAGGGGAGCAAACGGG